ensembl:lncRNA
UGUGUGUGUGUGUGUGUGUUUGUGAAAGAAAGACUAUAUAACAGUGGAUCAGCCUUAGGAAUGAUAAAAGAGUAGUUUGAACGAAUUAAUGAAUGACUUAUAAACCAUCAGAGGAUCAAACAGGGGGAAGAAUGGGACUGAGGUAAUUUAGAGGUGAGGAGAGAGGAGGAGAGAGGAGGAACACAGGGGUUAGGAGAGAGGAAGAGAGAGGAGAGGAGGAGAGAGGAGGAACACAGAGGUGAGGAGAGAGGAAGAGAGAGGAGGAACACAGGGGUGAGGAGAGAGGAAGAGAGAGGAGGUGAGGAGAGAGGAGGAGAGGAGAGGAGAGAGGAGGUGAGGAGAGAGGAGGAGAGAGGAGAGGAGGAGCACAGAGGUGAGGAGAGAGGAGGAACACAGGGGUGAGGAGAGAGGAGGUGAGGAGAGAGGAGGAGAGAGGAGAAAAGGAGAAGAGAGAAAAGAAAAUGAGAAGACCACUAUAUGAAGGGAUGAGAGAGAACAGGAGGAGGAUGGAGGGAUGAGAGAGGACAGGAGGAGAUGAAGAAUGGAGGAGGAGGAUGGAGGUGAGAGGAAGAAAGGAGAGAUGACCAGAGAUGAGAGGAAAAGAGGAGAGG